rnacentral:rRNA from 1 species
AACGAACGCUGGCGGCAUGCCUAACACAUGCAAGUCGAACGAAGGCUUCGGCCUUAGUGGCGCACGGGUGCGUAACGCGUGGGAAUCUGCCCUUAGGUUCGGAAUAACAGUUAGAAAUGACUGCUAAUACCGGAUGAUGACGUAAGUCCAAAGAUUUAUCGCCUGAGGAUGAGCCCGCGUAGGAUUAGCUAGUUGGUGUGGUAAAGGCGCACCAAGGCGACGAUCCUUAGCUGGUCUGAGAGGAUGAUCAGCCACACUGGGACUGAGACACGGCCCAGACUCCUACGGGAGGCAGCAGUGGGGAAUAUUGGACAAUGGGCGCAAGCCUGAUCCAGCAAUGCCGCGUGAGUGAUGAAGGCCUUAGGGUGGUAAAGCUCUUUUACCCGUGAUGAUAAUGACAGUAGCGGGAGAAUAAGCCCCGGCUAACUCCGU